rnacentral:lncRNA from 1 species
AGCCCAGCAUGCGCCCCCUCCCACACAUCCAGGACAGGGAUCUGGACGGCUGUGGGUUCAGGUCAACAAAUGUCCAUGGAGUCACCCAUCAAUCCAAGGCUCCCAGCAGAAGGCAGACAGUGUGACUUGGCUACAGGCUUUGCCAUUCGCUGCCUGUGAGACACAAGCAAGUAGGCGAAGAUAUCCAAGCCUCAGUUCUCAUGAAGCAUCAGAAUGAUGAUCCCCUGGAAAGUGAGAGCCGUUUCUUCACUAGAUACUUUCCCUCCAGUGUCCCAGUAUUGGUGGCCACAGUGGGAGCCCCUUACAGCUGGCUCUUGAGUCUUGUUGACACAUCCCAUCAUUCUUUGCUGACGUAGCUUUCCAUGUUUUCUGCCUGAGAGAACCUGUGCAGCUCUCCACUGGCACAGUGAAAGCAUCUCCUAGGGGUGAGUUCAAAACAGUUCCCUGACAUGUCUUGGAAAUAGUGCUACUGGGGACAAAAUCAAAACUAAUGUUACCUGGGGCAAUGGGAAGUGCGUUCUGCAUGUAAUUUACACUGGAACUUGAUAUGACUACUGUAAAAACUAUAAAUGAAUAUGAUC